AACGCACAUUGCGCCCCUCGGCAUUCCGUGGGGCAUGCCUGUUCGAGCGUCAUCUACACCCUCAAGCGCUGCUUGGUGUUGGGUGCCUGUCGCGCCCCGCGCGCCGACUCACCCCAAACGCAUUGGCGGCGGCCCGAGCCCCUCCCGCGCAGCACAUUGCGCUUCUCGAGGCGGCGGGACCGCGUCCACGAAGCCGACACCCGUCUUUGACCUCGGAUCAGGUAGGGAUACCCGCUGAACUUAA
rnacentral:misc_RNA from 1 species